rnacentral:rRNA from 1 species
AUUGAACGCUAGCGGCAUGCCUUACACAUGCAAGUCGAACGGAGUGGCGAACGGGUGAGUAAUGUAUCGGAACGUGCCUAGUAGCGGGGGAUAACUACGCGAAACCGUAGCUAAUACCGCAUACUAUUGGAGCGGCCGAUGUCGGAUUAGCUAGUUGGUGGGGUAACGGCUUACCAAGGCGACGAUCCGUAGCUGGUUUGAGAGGACGACCAGCCAACAUGGGACUGAGACACGGCCCAGACUCCUACGGGAGGCAGCAGUGGGGAAUUUUGGACAAUGGGGGAAACCCUGAUCCAGCCAUCCCGCGUGUGCGAUGAAGGCCUUCGGGUUGUAAAGCACUUUUGGCAGGAAGGCGGUACCUGCAGAAUAAGCACCGGCUAACUACGUGCCAGCAGCCGCGGUAAUUC